GCCCUAAACGAUGUCUACUAGUUGUCGGGUCUUAAUUGACUUGGUAACGCAGCUAACGCGUGAAGUAGACCGCCUGGGGAGUACGGUCGCAAGAUUAAAACUCAAAGGAAUUGACGGGGACCCGCACAAGCGGUGGAUGAUGUGGAUUAAUUCGAUGCAACGCGAAAAACCUUACCUACCCUUGACAUGUACGGAAUCCUUGAGAGAUCAGGGAGUGCUUGAAAGAGAACCGUAACACAGGUGCUGCAUGGCUGUCGUCAGCUCGUGUCGUGAGAUGUUGGGUUAAGUCCCGCAACGAGCGCAACCCUUGUCAUUAGUUGCUACGAAAGGGCACUCUAAUGAGACUGCCGGUGACAAACCGGAGGAAGGUGGGGAUGACGUCAAGUCCUCAUGGCCCUUAUGGGUAGGGCUACACACGUCAUACAAUGGUACAUACAGAGGGCCGCCAACCCGCGAGGGGGAGCUAAUCCCAGAAAGUGUAUCGUAGUCCGGAUUGUAUCUGCAACUCGACUGCAUGAAGUUGGAAUCGCUAGUAAUCGCGGAUCAGCAUGUCGCGGUGAAUACGUCCCGGGUCUUGUACACACCGCCCGUCACACCAUGGGANC
rnacentral:rRNA from 1 species